GUUAAAGUGGCAGAGCCUGGUAAUUGGGUAAAACUUAAACCUUUAUAUUCAGAGAUUCAAAUCCUCUCCUUAACA
rfam:Ovis aries breed Texel chromosome 15, whole genome shotgun sequence.